rnacentral:rRNA from 1 species
CCCUUAGAUGUCCUGGGCCGCACGCGCGUUACACUGAUGCGUUCAACGAGCUUAUAACCUUGGCCGAGAGGCCUGGGCAAUCUUGUUAACGUGCAUCGUGAUAGGGAUAGAUUAUUGAAAUUAUUAAUCUUGAACGAGGAAUUCCUAGUAAACGCAGAUCAUCAAUCUGCAUUGAUUACGUCCCUGCCCUUUGUACACACCGCCCGUCGCACCUACCGAUUGGAUGGUCCGGCGAAGCCUCGGGAUUGUGGUUCUUGCCGCUUUAUUGUGGCGUGACCGCGAGAACUUGUCUAAACCUUAUCAUCUAGAGGAAGGUGAAGUCGUAACA